AAAAUACACAAAAUUCCAAAGUGUACCCCGUCUAAAGGCGGGGUUGGGUAUUAGAGGGUUAAAUCGAGUAAUGCUCUUGAAUUAAACUGUGACAUGCACAAUAAAAAAAUGAUAAAUAAUUCAUAAUUUACAUCUUUGAAGGAAAAAGGGAUGUGGUAGAGCCGAUAUCAAUAUCAGUACAGACAACACCGCUUCAUGCUUAUCCGACUGAUAUCGUUCGAGAUGCGUUGUACAUCAUUCGGGGAAUCUCACUUCCACCUUGCACAAGCAUGGUUGUUUGCUUACCACCGCGUGCGUGUUAUCGAUCAUAGACUGAACCUUCGAGUAGUUACCACAGGCAUGAUCCUAGCUACAUUGUUAGCAGCUUUCGCUGCCUUUUCGCAGGCAUAGUCUACGUGGCUGUUGAAGUUUAGCCUGUCGUCGACCAUUACUCCAAGGCAGUCUUCAAAUUUGCCUUUGCUUUGCGUUGAUUUGAUUCAUAAAACAACGAGAAAGAGAAUGCACGAUCCUUAUUUUUCAAUCCAACAAGGCUUUGAUUUGAUCCUAUCAUUUCGGUGAAAAUACUGCAUCAUUUUUCUGAAUCAUUUGUGACUCAUUCAACAAGGUAGACUAAGCUGCAGAGGGAUAACAAGCUUUGCUGGUAGGCCUAGCAACGCACACUGUUUUCUUUUCAUCGCGAAUUCACGAAGUGCGCGUCAAUGGUUAACAAGUGAUAAUAUUUAUCAAAAUGGUACACGAUGUUGUGUGUACAGAGUUAUUCAGAAUUCAAGUCAUCUAUGGUUGUUGCUCUACGCACUACUAUACUUGUUAUUAACCACAAUCAGUUUCCUUAGUCUUUUCCUACGAAAAUGGCAUGAUAUUUUAUCAUUGGCACUGGCAUUGGCGUCAUGAUCGAACAGGAACACCACCACUGUAGCGCUGUGGGAGGCAUGGAUCAUUUCACGGAGCCCAACUAUUAUUGCACCGUUCAGAACAGGGCUAUAUUAUACGGACCCUGAUCUUCAACACUCUGUUAUGCAUUACUUCACAAUAUUUUAUCCUAUGUUUUGUGGCAAUAAAAAUGUUCUUGGAAUGU